CGUCUUGAGCCUUUAAUAACUAUGCAUAGAACUAGAAGAAACCAAUGGAUCAAGAGAAACAAAUUCACGAUUUAUUUGCAUAAAAUAGAUAGUAAAUAAUCAUCAUAAAAUCUUUAAAUAUGUAAAGAUUCUAAAACCUAUUUACAGAGUUUUUUAACCCUAAUUACAUUAGGAUUAGGAACCAUUAUUCCAAUUCUAAUUAGAAAUACUAAACAAAAUAAACUUCCUAAAUAAUAAUAAUAGUA
rnacentral:misc_RNA from 1 species